CAUAUUUGUUGUUUUCAGCCACUAGGUUUAGAGGCAGGUUAUUGUGCAGCAACAGAGAACCAGUACAGAAGCUCUGUGCCUUCGGACAAGUUAAUUAAAUCUCCCUCUGCUUCCUCACCCGUGUAAUUAGGGUGAUAAUAAUGAUGUCUACAUCGUAGAGGAGAAAGGAUGUUGUGAAUUUGUACAUACACAGGACUGAGAACAGUGCCUGGCAUGCACUGGGAUGUUGGUCUCCUCCUGCCUCUGCACUUGGACUUGGAAUUGGAUUUGGACUUGGACUUGGACUGGGCUACACCACUGGCUCUCCCGAGUGUCCAGUUUGGCAACUGCAGAUUGCGGGACUUCUCAGCCUCCAUAGCUAUGAAACACAUGAGUAAUGUUUUCUCGUCUUGCUGUUCAUUAAACUUUCUCUCUGUGAACGUCUAUGUGGCUGGUGAAUUGUGCGAGUGAAGUCAGCUGGCAACAACGAAAAAGCUAAGAAAAUGAAGAGAAGAUCUUGGGGCCCGAAGUCUGAGAUCCAGGUGUCAGCGGGGCUGGGCUCCCUCUGCGGGCUCUAGGGGAGGACCCUUCCUGCCUCUUCCAGCUUCUGGUGGCCCCAGGUGUUCCUUGAGGGAGGAAAUCAGCCACAGGACAUCACCAAAAUUCACAUAGACGCCCCAACAAGCCUGAAAGAAAAGUCGUAUUUGCAGGAAAAGAUGGAGCCAGUGCCGCAGGUGUGGAUCCCCCGGGGACAGCCAUGGCUUGGACGCCCAGAGACGUGGCAGUCAAGAAAGCCCCAUUCCUGGAGGGAUUUUCAAGGUUCUUGCUUUUUUAAAAACAGCAUUUAAAGAGAGCAGCUUUGAUUAAAUUCUUCCUCAGGGUUCCCAGAAA